AGCCCAAAUUCCAAAAAUCAUAAGAGGUCCAACUUAAAGUUCGGGUAGGCAUGUUUUGUGAGAAGCACUUUCUGUUAUAUAACUCGAAACUGUCGUAACACACCGAUAGCGAUGAAUACAUUGAAUGAUCCGACACUGAAAUGAAAACAAUCCCUCAUCUGUGGCCGCGGCAGGACUGUAAAAACCACGACCAAUCAGAAAGUUCGGUCCGAAGAAAGCGAUUGGAUGAACCGGCUUUCUCCUGCCUGCGCGCACUCUGCUCGUUCUCUUGCAUGGCGUCGGCAAACAACCGGAGCACAGGCUACAGCUACAGAGCUAAAGCUACGGAGCCAGAGCUACAGUUAGCAGAUGAGUUGCUGCACUGAACUAAAGAAGAAAAGGGUUGCAGAACGGCAGAGAAAGUGCCUACAACAGCUUCCAGUCGCAACAGACAGAGCAGUAGAGAAGGCUACGGACUAAAAGAGGUUGGAUACUACGAGGAGGAGUGAACAGAGUAAACAUCGGUGUGGCUCUUCAACGUUGACGUCAACUCCGGGAGGAGAAGAGGGUGAAAGGUACAGCAAGUUGUACAUGAAGAAGUCCAGGACCUGGAAGUUUUACACACUGAAGGUUGUCUGCCACGGACCAGACGAUCCCGUCAACAGCUAGAGCAGCGAGUCAGCAGAGGACCAGAUUCUGAACCUCAGAACUACUUGUUAUGAUCUUCAAUAUUUAUCUAAACA